UUCUUAGAAAAUAUUUAUGUUCAAAGGUUUUUAAAAAACUUAUUUUAUGCUUUUAUAUUAUAAAUUGCAUGCCUCUAUAUGUAUAGUUAUAUAAGAAAUGUUUAAAAGACUUAGGAAGGCUAUCCACCCUAUUUCCUUUUCGCGCUUGAGAUGUGGUCUGGUGGGAUAUCGGGUACUCGUCCGAAGGUCGUUUAAAUAUUAGUUAUAUAUCAUGUGUACAUAUAUAGUCAUAAAAGGUCCUUCCAGUUCAUCCCAUGCCCUUGGGUAGCAAGGGUAUACAUCCAUGUCCAUACGUACCAGUUAGAUUACUAGUAAACUACCAUAUGGGUAGUUUAGGAAGAUACUAGAACUAUUACUAGAACACAAUAUCAUACUAUGAGUCAGUUCAUUCAUGAGUCAAUACUUACUACUAUGAGAACAUAUACAACUAUACUAGAGAAGAACAUAUACAACUAUACUAGAGAAGAACAUAUACAACUAUACUAGAAAGAGAACUUAUACAACUAUACUAGAAAGAGAACAUAUACAACGAUACUAGAACGAGUACAUUAGUAUACUUGCUAGGUAGAGAGCACGUACAUUACAGCUAGACCAGUUCAUUACAUUACAUAUAUAUGAAUACGUUCACAUAAUUGUGAUCCACUGUAUCAGAGCAUGCCUUCAAUGUCAUGGCUCGAGUUGUUGCAAGAGUCUCUUGAAGGGAGAGCGUGAGUUUGCGUAUAGAUCUAUAUUGGAUUGACUAUCCUACACCUUGCUGCUAGCUACAGCCGGACCUGCAGGUCUGCGGGUGCCAAACGUCAUUCCGUUUUACGACCAUUCAUUUGUCGUUGUUUAUCCAGUCGAUAGUAUGGUACAAUUAAUCACAUGAUACCUUAAUAUAAAUCCGGUUUAAGGUAGUUAGUACAACAGUAGUUCNCAGUCAAUAGUAUGGUGCAAUUAAUCACAUGAUACCUUAAUAUAAAUCCGGUUUAAGGUAGUUAGUACAGCAGUAGUUCCUAUAAUACAACACUACAGUACUACAUUAAUUUCCCCUUUUCAUAUAUUUAGUGAUCAUUUCACAUAAACAUUUAAUGUAAAAACUAUAUUUUGAUAAUGAUAGUUACACUUGGGAAAAUUACACACUUUUACAAGAAACGAACAUUUAGAACAGUUAAGUCUUGGUAGAAGACUACAUUGAGAACAGUUAAGUCUUGGUAGAAGACACCUUUAUAUAAAGUAGGAAUCAUAGGGAUUUCUAGGGUUUUUCAAACUUUUACAGUUGUUUUACAAACAUUUUUAUACUUACAGUUCAUCUACAUUUUUCCAUACUUACAGUUCAUUUACAAACAAUUUCUUACAUACAAAUUAAGACACUAAAAUACUUAUGAUCUCACCUGCUUUAAAGUUGAUACUCUCUUUCAAAAUAACUUGUAUCCUCAAGUCAACCAUAGACAGGUACCGAUGCAAGGUUCAGGGAAGAUGGUGCUCGAUCAAGACGCAUCUUUCAUUUUGAUUUAUGCUUUAGUGUUUAUCAAAAUUUUACAGGACACACUUGUAUAAUAAUUCUAUUAUUAAUGCAAUGGAUGAUGUUGUUGCUUGUUUACUACUUUACAUUGUUGUGAUACUGUACAUGAUGUCCUCCGCCCCAGAACGUUUCCGCCGUUCCGGUUUUGGGGUGUGACAACCAAUGCACCUGUAGUGUUCAUGGACUUAAUGAACCGGGUGUGACGUCCUUACUUGGAUCAAUUCGUUAUUGUAUUCAUCGAUGACAUACUUAUCUACUCUUGUAGUAAGGAGGAGCAGAGUCAGCAUCCACGACAGAUCUUAGAAACACUACGAGCAGAGAAGCUCUAUGCGAAGUUCUCCAAAUGCGAAUUUUGGAUUUGAAGAGUCGAGUUAUUGGGUCACGUGGUUAGCGAAGAGGGAAUUCACGUGGGUCCUUCCAAAAUUAAGGCCAUUGAGGACUGGUCAGCUCUAAAGAUGCCUACGAAAACUCAUCAAUUUCUAGGCCUCGCUGGCUAUGAUCGCAGGUUUAUUCAGAACUUUUCAAGGAUUGUGAAACCACUUACUCCCUUGACCCAGAAACUUGCAGCCUUUGACUGAGAAGAGAAACAAGAGAAGGCAUUCCAAACGUUGAAGUGAGCCUUAUGCAGCGCACCGAUAUUAUCCCUCCCAGAAGGGAUAGAAGAUUUCGUGGUUUACUGCGAUGCAUCCAACCAAGGGCUUGGAUGUGUUCUUAUGCAAUGAGGAAAGGUCAUCACCUAUGCCUCAAGACAACUUAAGACACAUGAAGUCAACUACACUACACAUGAUCUUGAGUUAGGAGCAGUGGUAUUUUCUCUGAAGAUCUGGAGACACUACAUGUAUGGUACGAAAAGCACUAUCUUUACAAAACACAAAAGCCUUCAUCAUAUAUUCAACAAGAAGGAGCUUAACAUGAGGCAACAACGGUGGGUCAAGCUACUCAAUGAUUACGAAUGCGAAAUUCGUUAUCAUCCCGGUAAAGUCAACCUAGUAGCUGACGCCCUAAGUUGGAAAGAAUACUUAGGUCAUAGAGUCAAGGCAUUGACUAUGACAAUCCAUUCACAUAUGUCUACACAAAUUAAGGAGGCUCAGCUGCAAGCCUUGAAACCUGAAAAUGUGGCAGGUGAAUCCCUUAGGGAUGGAUAAGAACAUAGAAGUCAAGGGUAACAAAGCUCUAUACCUCAUGGAUCGGAUCUGGACACCGAAAAUAGGUGGUUUCAGAGACGUUGUCAUGAAGGUAGCACACAAUACUCGAUACUCCAUUUACCCAGGAUCAGAUAAGAUGUAUAUGGAUCUCAAAAAGUUAUAUUGGUGGCCUAACAUGAAAGCAGAGAUUGCUACCUUCGUGAGCAAGUGUCUUACUUGCGCCGAGGUUAAGGUUGAAUACCAAAAACCGUGAGGUUUACUACAAUAACCAGUGAUACCUAAGUGGAAGUGGGAGUAGAUUACAAUGGACUUCAUAACCAAGUUGCCCAAGACAACGGGUGGUCUCGAUACCAUUUGGGUGAUCGUAGACAGGUUAACUAAGCCCCCACACUUCCUACCGAUGAAAGAGACCGACAAGAUGGAGAAACUAACCAGACCCUACAUUAGGGAGAUUGUACGACUGCAUGGUGUUCCGAUAUCUAUCAUCUCUAAUAGAGAUGGUAGAUCACUUCAAGAAUCUAGAAGUUGCUACAAAAGUCCUUGGGAACUAGGCUGGACAUGAGUACAACAUACCACCCACAAACUGAUGGACAGAGUGAGAGGACGAUACAAACGUUGGAAGACAUGUUGCGAUCUUGUGUGAUCGACUUUAGUAAAUCAUGGGAUGCCCAUUUUCCUUUAGUCAAUUUUUCAUACACUGACAACUACCAUUCUAGUAGGGAUGAGCAUAUGACCCGUUGGACCGGACCGGACCGGAAAAAAACCGGGACCGGACCCGGACCGGACCGGAUAAUCAGAUUAGUGGGUCGGUUUUCGGGUUUUAUUUUUACCACUAUUCGGGCUUCGGGUUUGGACCGGACCAUACCCGGAAUACGAGAUUUAACCCGGACCGGACCGGAAAACAUUCUCACCUUAAUUCAUUUUGUACAUAUUUUAGAAUAUAGAAAUAAUAAUAUUGACUUAUUAGUUAAUGCUAUAAAGCUUUUAUUGAAUUAUAAAUUAUUGCUACAAAAAAGAAUGUAUCUAAUGUGAUUGCGUAUUAAAAUUAAGUACCACAUGUCUCACCAAAUUGAAUAUUCCGUAAUGUAUCUAUCGUAAUAUUAUUUAUUAGGCUUUUUUUCUAAAAAACAUGAACAUUUAUUUACUAUUAGUGUUUUUAGAAAUUGUGAGGCUCGUCCAUACGAGCGACAACUAAAAAAAAACCUUUGUGUGGCUCUUCCAUAGUUCACGGCAGUGAUAAUUAUUUUUUGGGUUCGGCCCUCUAGCUCUCCAUCCAUUCCACCGUUACAAAAAAAACGGUCCAAUUCGGUCUAAAACCCGAAACCUGGUUUAAUACCCGGAACCGGACCGGACCGAACCCGGACCCAAUACAUACAGAAACGGUCCGGUUUUUGGGUAAGGUAAUUCACAAUUUUCGGUCUUCGGGUUUUCGGUCUUCGAGCCGGUCUGGUCCGGGUCUUGCCCGUUGCUCAUCCCUACAUUCUAGUAUCAAAGUUGCUCCAUUCAAAGCCCUAUAUGGCCGGAAGUGCAGAUCCCCUCUAUGCUGGGCUGAGGUGGGUGACACACAACUAGCUAAAGGACGAGCUUCUGACAACACUCUCACGGGUCCAGAAAUCAUUCGGGAAAUUACAAAGAAGAUUGUUCAGAUUCGUGAAAGAUUGAAAGCCUUUAGAGACUGACAGAAAAGCUACACUGACAAGAGACGAAAACCGUUGGAAUUUCUGGUUGGUAACCUUGUUCUAUUAAAGGUCUCACCCUGGAAGGGCUGGAUACGCUUCGGAAAGCAUGGUAAGCUAAAUCUAAGAUACAUUAGGCCUUUUGAGAUUCUCGCAAGGAUCGGCCUUGUAGCUUACAGACUCAAAGUACCUCGAGAACUUUGUAAUGUACACCCUACCUUCCACAUGUCGAACCUGAAAAAGUGCCUAUCUGAUGUUAUCCCACUCGAUGAAAUCGAGAUCAAUGAGAGCCUCAACUUCAUGGAAGAACCAGUAGAAAUCAUGGACAAGGAGGUCAAGCAAACGAAACAAAGCCGUAUCCUGAUAGUGAAGGUUCGCUGGAAUGCAGGUGAGUUCAUACCCCUAUAAUUACACUUUUAAAUGCUUUUAAGGGGGAAUACAAGUAGAACACAACGCAAUUGUUUUAACCAUUUACAUGUGAAAACAACAACCAAAAGGAUUUCCUAUACUCAAAAACUUGUAAAAACUCUUUUAAACUAUUUUAAACAUCUUUUAUAUCAAAUCAUAUUCAACUAUCUAUUUACGUUUUAACAGACUUAGGACUACUGCUAGAUAUCUUGAUUACUAUUCCUUGUUAUGUUGUGGGCUUAGGGUAGGAUCACUAGUCCGACUGUCGGCUAAAUCAUAGUUAUACUUAUUAAAUACAUCUAUGAAUAUUAAACCCAUUUUUAAGGAUCAUACUUAACUUAGUUCCUUAUGGUUAGUAAUUGGGUCUUUUCUGCAAAUUAGUAUCAGUUCAAGCAAACAUACUAGUAAACUAUAAUAGGUAUAGUUUAGAGGUUCAUUACAUGCUAUUUCUAGAAUAGAGAAACAUACAUGAGUUGGUACAUUCAUAUCAUUACUAUACAUUACAAAACAUACUAUAACAAGAAUAGAAAGGAUCAUACAUACUAUAACAAGAACAUAAAGGAAUAUACAUUCUAUAAUAAGAACAGAAAGGAACAUUGUUGGGUAAAAAAUAUGGUUUAUACUUUGCUUUUCUAGGAAAAUAUAUUUUUUCUAUAAUAUAAUAUGUAAUAUUGUGGCUGUGUAUGGCUGGACAUGUGUGUGCGGCCGCACACCCUGUGUACGACCGCACACAUGUGUGCAGCUGUACACUCGUGUGCUGCUGGUGGCCCAUGUCUCAUCUAUAUAUAAGGUGAGGAGUGCAUGUGGGAGUGUACGGUUAGAAGAGUGAAAGGCUAGUGAAGAGAGAGAAAGUUAGAGAGAAGAAGUGUGUGUGAGAGAAAAUCUAUUGUAAGGAGCAUCAAUCAUAUCAUCAAUACAACAUUAGAUUCAUCUUAAUUCUUCUUCUCCUUCUCUUCUAUAUUGACCUGAAAUCAUCCAAUUGAUUGAGAUUCCGCACCAUCAAUUGGAUCUGAUUGAUACACAAGCAAUUUUGGGGACUUACAAACAUAUAUACUGUAACAAGAACAAGAUAACAAUAAUGCGAAACCACUAUUUCAUGGCAUAUCAAUUGGUGUUGUGUCACGUUUUGUAACCAGAGUCUCCUGGAGGGAGAGCGUGAGUUUGUAUAUAGAUCUAUACGGGAUUGACCAUCCUACACCUUGUUGCUAGCUAUAGUGGGACCUGUAGGUCUACGGGUGACAAAUGUCAUACCAUUAUCGACGUCUGAAGAAUGUCGUGUUUUAUACUAGUCCAUCAAGCAUGGUUAUAACAUAUUCAAAUUUUUACUUUAAUUAACAAUUUGGUUUUAAGGUAGUUAGUGCUUCAGUAGGUAUUUUAUACAACAUUACUGAACACCUUCAUUUUCCAUUAUAUUCAUACAAUGAUAUUCUCAGAUAAGAAAUACAUACUAUUUUUCAUGUAAAGAUAGUUUUACAAAUAUGGAAAACCCACAUUUGUACUAUUUCAAGUACAAACAUACAUUUUUACGAGAGAAUAAACAUUCAAAUCAGUUGAGUCUUGGUAGAAGACUACUUUCCAUUUUAGUAGAAAAUAUAUGAUUUUCUAGGAAGUAUACAAAUACUUACAUCAAAACACUUACAAACAUUUUCGUGAAAUAGAUGCAAACUUUUGACAGAAAAAUACUUAUGAACUCACCAGCUUAAAUGCUGAUCUACUCUUUCAAAAUAACUUGUAUUCUCAGGUCAUCAAUAGACAGGUACAUUUGCAUAUGUUUGAGAAGACGGAGCAGGAUCAAGACUCAUCUUUCAUUUUGAUAUAUAUAUUUUUGGUGUCUUACAACCAUACAUAGAACACACAUGUACAACCUAUAUUAUGAAUGCAAUGGAUGAUGCUGUUGCUUGUUUUACUAUUGUGCAUUGUUAUGAUACUGUACAUGACGUCCACAGCCCCCGAACGUUUUCGCGGUUUCGGUUUAGGGGUGUGACAUCAUCAAACAAAAAGGGUAUAAGUAUUUCUUACUUUUCAAUAUCAAGUUUUUUAAAUACUUCAUUUCAAAUUGUAACUUGUUUUCUAUACAUAUAUUUUAGGUGGGAAAAGGAAUUCAAAAUCAAGAUCAAAUUUGCAGCUAGAAAGGAUAUGAACCAUCUGAAACAAUUCUUAAGUGGUGGACAUCAUGAUAAUCCUUAUGAAACUAUACAAGCUCUUGAUGUUGUUCUAAGGGAUUGUUUACAAGAGUAACAAUUAAGUGUCAUAAUAUAUCUUUUCUCAUUAAGCUCUCAAUGGGAUUCUAACGGUUUUUACAUGGAUUGUUUGUAGGAGGAAAAAACUUGGUAGAUCAUUGUUUAGUACUGAGUUUAGGACAUAUGUUCUUGGUGAUGGUGUUGGAUUUUGGAAAGGGUUUUAUCAAACUCUAAAAGCAACUCAAAUGGGCUUUUCACUUAACCUUGGUAUGUAUUUGUAUUUGUAUAUAUUUUGAUUGUAUAUUUGUAUAUAUUUUAAUCAUCAGCCUUUCUAAAUUAAUAUAAAUCUUACAAAUUGAGUGCUUAACACAUUAAGCUCGGAAAGUAAAAAAAGCAACCCCUAAAAAUAGUAUAUAAAAAUAUUUCUAAUGUUUUUAUAUAAAAUAAUGUUUGUAGGUUCUAAAAACGCAAGGUGCAGCAAAAGCAAAAUGUUAUUCUUAUGUGUUGUAUGCUGACAGUGGGUACAAUAAGUAUUUGGAGAAGGUCUUCUCAUAUAAUUAUAUAUAUANNNNNNNNNNNNNUAUUAAACUUCACCUCCAACAUGAAUAGUGAACUGGUUGGAAAAAAUGGUCAUUUGAUUAUAAAAUUUUGGUAUAGGGGUAUUUUAUAUAAAAUAUUUUAUUCUCUGUCGUCCACAUGUUGGUCAUCGUGCCCGGUCUCUUAGUAUUUAAUGUUUAUCUGUUUUCGUUCUGUUCCAUUCACGAUACUUCCACCACCUCCCAAAUCGACUCUCCUGUCUUCUUCUACCCUUUGCUCCAUCCACCGCCAACCAUCGGUCUUGUAAUUGAAGCUUCAGGUCUUCAUACUUACAAUCGAUCAAAUACGGGGGUGUUUGACUUAACUUUUCAAACCCCAAAAGUUCUUUUUGAAAAAGUUACAAAAAGUCAGGAUUUCCUGACUUUUCCAAAAAGUUCAUUUUUCUUAUCUAAAAACUACGCUUUUAAAACUAGUUUGCCAAACAUCUUUUGUUUUUUUUUUGUUUUUUUGUUUUUUUGUUUUUUUUUUUUUCAAAAAAGGAUUUUGACCGUGAAAACCUAAAAAAAACCUAAAAAAAACCUAAGCCACCCUACGUAUUCCCAGAUACCCUUGCAAACUGACGAUCGGUGGUAUGCGGAGAUCGACGAAUCGAUCAGUCGACUUCUUAAUCACAAAAUCGUUACUUUUCUUCCGGUGUCGGAGGUCUACGUUCGUCAAAUGGUCUGCUGGAGACACUUGCAAAGUUCGUCAAAGGAAUUCCACUGUCGCGUUUUGGGUCUUUUUUGGUUCUUGCUUCACCGAUUUCCGUCUGCUGCCGCCAUUGAUUACUGAUUUGGGUAUGUGUUUGCAACUUACGCCUUCACUCUCUCCUAUUUGUGCUUGAUUUUGGACCAGAUGACUACAAAGAUGUGAUUUUUAAUUUAGGUUUGUCAGAAUCUCUCACACCAGAUUGUUUGUUUGCUUUUUUUUUCCAUCGGUUGGUGCUAUAGGUAAAUGGAAUCCACAAUUCUUCAAUACCUUUUAAACUAACAAAGCUCAGUUUUUCUUUCUAUUUGGAGUCGACUCCAAUUGACAGGGAACGAAGUAGCUUUUGUUUGUUUGUUUGUUUGUUUUUUUUUUUUUUUUUUUUUUUUUUUUUUGUUUUUUCAUAUUCUUCCUUCAGUUUCGACAACGGAUUUUAAUGUUUCCAUUGUCGGUUGUUCUGUUUUGGUAAUCCUCCUCUGUGUUUCUAUUUAUGUUAUCGAAAUUAUAGUUCUUUAUUGACAUCAACAUUAUGAAUUUUGUUGAGUGUUUGAUGUUGGAUUUUGUGAUAUAAUUAUGAAGGAGCGUGAAAUGGAGAUUGGGUACCCAACAGAUGUUAAACAUGCUGCUCAUAUUGGCUGGGAUGGAUCAUCAAGCAGUGCUCCUUCUUGGGUAAUUUGGUAAUUUUACUGUUUUCUAUCUCCCCUUUUCUUGAAAGUUAAUUUCUUUUUUGAAAAAUUUCAGAUGAAUGAGUUCAAGACAACCCCUAAUUUUGCAGCAACUGCCAUUGGAAAUUCUGCUUCUGGUCUGUCUGCCUGGUCUUCUCAAGGUAUUUUAAUGGUUUUUAUUGGAAAUUGAUUAUUGUAUAUCAUUAUAUUUAGUUAUUUAUUAGAAAUCACUAAUCAUUAAAUCGAAAAUUUUCAAUAAAAACCAUUUUUUGAAGGAAAGUACAAAUUGUUUUUAAUUGUUUGCAAUUCGAAUAUAAUGAUAAUCCAUUUGCAAGGAAAUUGAUUAUUGUAUAUCAUUAUAUUUAGUUAUUUAUGGGUUUUUUUGACAUUUGUUGAUUGAAUUUAAUAAUAAAGACCCUUUUUGGUAGCAACAAUCUAAAUAAGCAUGUAAAGUAGUAACAGUUUCUGAACAACACUUUAAUUCACCAUUAAAAUAAGUCAAUUCUAACAAAAAAAACUGUAUACAAGGGCAAUUUGGUCAUAAAAACAUGUAUGUGUGAUUAGCCCAAAGCAGGAGCAGAUUCGUCUUAAAAUGAUCAGGUGAUAUUUUUUUGACCAACAGAUGCUGGUUACUAACCGGUUAGAUUUGACAAAAUGGUAAACUUGGUUGUUUUUUUUUUUUAAUACAAAUAUAUAGUUAGAUCGUGUUUUUUAAACAAACAAUGAUUUGUUGGUCUUUUUUGAAUGUUUUUAAAACUUUCUUUGCUCUAUAACUCAUUUUCCCUAUCUUAUUCCAACAUGUUUGAUUUUCUAAUAGGUUCGAAAAUCUGGAAGGAAUCAACUCCAAAAACCUCGAAAAAACCACCAUUGUUCUUGGUUCCAGGUUUUGUGACUCCUAACAACUUUUUUCGUCAAUCUUAUUAAAAAAAAUCUCACUUAAUUGGUCUGAGAAACAUGACAGUAGCAUUUAGCCACGGUAGAAUAGAAAUUUACUUUGCAUUUUUGUUGUUGGCAACUGCUGCUAUGUUACUAUCCCCUGUUUCGCUCUGCAGGGUUAAGGUGGUUCUUUCAUCCUUUUUUAUUGUUUUCUGGUUAUAUGUUUUGUGUGUAAUCUAUAUCUAAUCACACAAAUCAUGAGAAAAUUAUGGCAUAAUGACCUAUGAAAAGUUGUUUGAUUGUUUGAAGUAAUGAUUGAAAUACCAAUUUACCUUUUGUUUGGAUAUAUAUUUGGUUACCACUUCUUUUUUAGUUGGUAUUUAUUCUCUCUUUCUAUACGAAUGUGUAUUUAUGAAUGAAUGUUGUGUAAUAUGCAGAUUUGUGAACUGUGAAGGCACUACUGAUUAUCUCUUUGGUUGAUAGAAAUGACAGUGAUAGAGUUGUUGAUGCAAUAGAUGAGUUGCAUAGGAUGUUGGAUGUUAUCUGUUCGGUAGAAUCAAUUUGAAUGUAUUGAAGUGCAUUCCACAAUCAUAAUGUAUUGAACUGCAUUCCAUAAUCAUGCUUGGUUGAACUAUAGGAAUGCCUUAAACUUUUAUAUAAGUUUUUAUAUUUUAUGUAAAUACAAAUGUUUUCUGUCGAUAACAAGCAGCAAGUGGCUAAAAAGAUAGGAGCUGUCUAAAUCUAUCCCCAUAUGUUUUCCCGUGUAUACUGUUUAACAGGUUUCACCCCAUAUGUUCUAUUCCGGUUAAAAUUGAAUAUCAUUUUCGCAAGUUAAUUACUUUUAAGACCAUUUACUGCUGGAAAUCUAUCAAAAUUCUUACAUACACUGUAUUAUUUGUUGCUAUAAAUAGUCAAAACAACUAAAAGUCUAGGCUUAAGAUGAAUGAAACAAAUACCGGUUAAAAGGAUCUUCGCACACGUUUUGUUCCGAUUCCAGUUUAAAUGCGUGAUCUUUUAACAAUGGACACUCCUAUUUAACAAGUUUGGCCACAUAUGUUGUACUCCGGUUAAAAUUGAAUCUCAUUUCCGCAACUUUAUUACUUUUAACACCAUUUACUGUUGGAGAUCUAUCAAAUUUGUUACGUAGACUGUAUUAUUUGUUGCUAUAAAUAGUUAAAACAACUGGAGCCAUACUACAAUAGCAACAUACUUUACUACUCUUAACCGAACCCGCGGAGCGCGGUUUCCCAACUAGUUUUUAUUGUAAAGGUAUAUAAAAAUUGUUCUAAUCAUUUUUAGUUAUUUAAUUGUUUUUGUAAAUAACUAAUAUUGUUAUCCUAUAAUUUGGUAAAUGGCAAAGCUAUUUCCACUUCGGAUAUAAAAUGGGCUAUCCUCCCAGGCAUUACAAGAAAGCGUAUUAUUGAUGUAGCUUGUGAUGAAUGAUUCCAUGUACUUCAAAUGUCUAAAAUACCCUUUUAAUAAUAAUAAUAAUAAUAAUAAUAAUAAUAAUAAUAAAAUAUUGGAAGAAUAACAUAAAAUAUCUUAGCUCUCAACUUUUAGAAGAAGGAUAACAUUAAAUAAUAUUUAAAAUCAUAUGUUCCUUACUAAUACCUUAUUGUGUUAUAUGUAUUUUAUUACUACUCAUAAUAUAUACUUUAAUCUGAUUAUUGAUUAUGUUUUGUCUGCUUUAGCAAUUUGCAGCUUGUGAAGAAGCUGGAGUUUUAGUUAUCAUGUGGUUGCAACUCAUAUAUCCGUUAAAUCACCCAACAACGACUAAUAUAGUUUUCUUAAUAUAAUAAAUGAAAAUGGAUAGAUUAAAAAAAAAUUGAAAAUAUAACUAGUGGCGGUUGUGAUUCCUAUCAUAAAGGUCUAUUCACAUGGUUUUGGUGAGUUUAUAAAACUCUUUGAUCGAUUAGAUCUUUAAAACAGACGAAUAAAGAAAGCAAUAACAGUUAAACAAAAACACAAGUAUCGAUCUGAAAGAGUUGAAUGAUUCAAUUAACUCAAUCCUCAGCAGAGCUCGAUAAAGUACUUCCGCUGUCGAGGAUUCUAGGGUUACAGAUGAUAAGAACGUGUACGCUAUAAAAUCUCUAUCAAAACAUUACGUUCCAGAAUGCAUGCAAACAUCUUUAUAUAAUAAACCCUAUACGAAACUCACGGAUGGACAGACCCAUACCGGAGACAAAACUUGGACUAGCUAACGAGCCCAAAGACGCAACACUAAACUGGACCUAACAAUCUCCCCCUUUGCAUCAAUUUGGAGUGUGACUAUCAUUUCUUCUUGCUCGGACCAGCUGCCGGAACCUUCUUGGUUGUAUCAAACAGACGAGAGAUAAGUGCGAGAAUUGUCUGUCUGAAGCGAAUGUACCAUUGAAUCAUAUCAUCAAAGUACUUCUUGUCAUCCGCUGAAUUCUGCUUGCACCGACGAAUGAUCCCUAAGACGUGUUCCAGACAUGCAAUGGUGUAGAGAUGUUUGUCAGCCAAAGCGAAUAGGCAUUUUUGGCCUUCGUUUUUGGUAAACAUAACUGAAUUUCUCUUCAGGUUUAUCUUCCCCAUCUGCAUCAUGUUAAGAUCACUGGCAGAGCCAACAAGAGAUAUUGUAGGCUUUUUCUUGAAUACACUCGCUAUCUCCUGAUCCAUCUUGGCGACUUCCAUGAUGUAACAAACAAGCAUCCUCUUGAAGUGGUUGAUGAUCGGACCAUAUUCUGCUUCAUUAGUAAGAAGGAUGUUGUGCAAAAUAAUCCAGUUGUGUGGAUUCAAGUUGGGAAGAUCAGCAAGCGAGAUGGCAUGUUCAGUCUUGGCAGAUCCUCUCAGCACCUUAAACCGAACGUUGGUGAAGUUUCCUUCCCUAUACGGCUUUAGAACCCGAACAUUGACAAUCUUCUGAGCGCUCCAUGUUUGAUACUAUGGUUGAGCGGCCCUUAGAUAGAAUUCGACUAAGUCCCUGUCAACCUUUGGAUGAGGAUGAGGGAACUCAACAAUGUUGUCAAAGGCAUGAAAGACAAAUGCCAUUCGGGUCAGUGGCAUGUCGAACUGAGAAUCGACAGAAUUAUCACGAUCAAGUGAGAUCACUGGUUCUAGCCACAAGAUGCUUGGAGUUUCGAUGGCUUCUUUCAAUAACUUCUCAAGAGUCCAAGGAGGAAAAAGAGUUUUCCUGCUCUCGAGAAGGUCGUGAGCUUCUUUCUGUUUUCGUUCAGCUUCUUCAGCCUCUCUAGCAACCCGAGCGCUAAUGUCAACGUCCUUGUCUCGGCCUUGCUUUUUCAAAAGAUCGGCAAUGGNUGUCAUCAUCGCUCUCUUCAGCAAUUUGCUUGCCCUUGUCUUUAACACCCGAACCUGAGGCUUGGCCUGUAGGAGGAGGUUCGGUUGUUUUGGUUGUUGUUGAAGUAGGAGGCGGUUGAAACACAUUUUCGUUUUCUCCCCCUUGUUUCGGAAUGGACACGAAAGCAAGGAGCCCUUCAAUCUUGCUCAGGAGAGAAAGGGCAGGAGCAAGUUUUUCUGCAAGAUCUCGCCUCACAGAAUAGUUGUGUAUCGGGUCAUGUGCUUCUAGGAUGUUUGAGAUGGCUGCGUGGACAUCCGAAACACAUGAAGACACAAUCUCUCUUUCAGAUCGAAGAGAGUCAAUCUCCUUUUGAGAAUUGGAGAGUUGAAUACUCUUGACCUUAACUUAUAAAUUAGUNNNNNNNNNNNNNNNNNNNNNNNNNNNNNNNNNNNNNNNNNNNNNNNNNNNNNNNNNNNNNNNNNNNNNNNNNNNNNNNNNNNNNNNNNNNNNNNNNNNNNNNNNNNNNNNNNNNNNNNNNNNNNNNNNNNNNNNNNNNNNNNNNNNNNNNNNNNNNNNNNNNNNNNNNNNNNNNNNNNNNNNNNNNNNNNNNNNNNNNNNNNNNNNNNNNNNNNNNNNNNNNNNNNNNNNNNNNNNNNNNNNNNNNNNNNNNNNNNNNNNNNNNNNNNNNNNNNNNNNNNNNNNNNNNNNNNNNNNNNNNNNNNNNNNNNNNNNNNNNNNNNNNNNNNNNNNNNNNNNNNNNNNNNNNNNNNNNNNNNNNNNNNNNNNNNNNNNNNNNNNNNNNNNNNNNNNNNNNNNNNNNNNNNNNNNNNNNNNNNNNNNNNNNNNNNNNNNNNNNNNNNNNNNNNNNNNNNNNNNNNNAGGUUUGGUAGUUGGAGUGGGUUCGGGUGCUGUAGUAGGAGCCCCCGUAUCAGAUACGUUGGUUCUUACUUCAGCGGUUGUGGUGGUUGCUUCUGUAAAGAUGGGUGGGGGUACUGGGAUGGAGGUAGGUGGUAUUUGAGUGGUGGAGGUUAUGGGGGGAAUGGAAAAAGGAAUGGUAACGGGUGGAGAAGAGAUAGGUGAAGUGGAAAAGUGAACUUCUGGGGUAGGCGAUCGUGGAGGAGUGUUGCCACGAGGAGACUCAUCAGAGUCUGAAUUAUCUUCCUCAGAUUCGCUUGAGGAGGAAGCGAUUAUCAGCUUUCGCCUUGGUUGGGUUUUUCUCUUCUUCAGCGGAGGAGACUGAACAGUCUGUGUAGUUUUACGCUUCUUGGGAGAAGGGCCUUUCGCUCCCUUGCCAACCUGCUUGUCUUUGCCUUUGUCAUUCUUCUUUCCCCUUGGAGCAGGCUUGUCGGCUUCAUGGAUGGACUUGAGCAUCUCAGGAGUAAGCUCUCUAGGACCAGAGCGACGAAACUCCUUGUAGGUUUUAAUGAUCCAGCUGUCGGCAGGAACAUCUCCAUACAUCGACUCAGGGAUAGAGCCAAUGAAUUGAAACUUGGAUGUGUCGGAGACAAUGAUCUUCGUGGUAUGGAAAGUACCAAUCGAAGACAUUGGAGAACCAGCAACAAUGGGGACGUGGUACUUGUCCAUCACCCAUUUUGUGACGAGAGUCCAGAAACGAGCAUAGGAGAUCUCGGAAUGCCGAGAAGUAGAAGCCAGACUCUGAAUAAGCUGCUGCCAUAGGACCGACCCAUAGUCCAGGUUGAUACCAUUGUAGACCCCAUAGAGAAGCGUGAUGAACAGAAGACUUGCACCGUCUGACCCAGCACUGCAUUCAGAUAGACCCUUGAACAGUACAGUAAACAACCCAUUCCACUGAGGAGGCAGGCACGAUUUCUUGAACUUCGUGACCGUUGUCAGCACCUCAGUAUACCCCAUGUUGUAGAACAUAGAGAACAUGUGACCCACCGGAAUCAAUUCAAGGUUAACCCUAGAUGAAUCAGGUUCAAACCCAAAAAUUGAGCAGAAUCGUUGCUUGGAGAUUGAAGCCUUGUGAUCAAGCACGUCGAAGAAGAUCCUGUCGACUGACUUGUCGUAAUGAGCAGUGGCGAAAAUCUGAGAUAAGAACUCCAUAGGAACUGCUUCAGCUUUGGUGAGUGCAGGAGCAAGUGGCGAGUACUUGAGGCAUUCGAUUAUCGGGAACAUGAAGGCAUCAUAGACCUGAGGAGUAAGAUCGAUGAUCAAACUCUGUUGGGGACGAAUCGGCAGGAUGUGGGAAGUGGCAUGAACUGAUGAUGAAUUCGCCAUUGUUGUGAAGAAGUUGGGAGAGAUGAUGAACAGUAGAAUACAUGAAGAAUUUCUUGCUCUCUGAUUUUUUGGGUGCAGUAAAGACAUAAACAAGGGUUGAAGUUACCUUUUAUACUGUGGGUACAGGAGAGAGAAGAAUCUGUCCCAAAUCUUCGAGGGAAAUACGAAGGGUUUUUCGGAAGUGAUUGAUGCGUGACAGUUGGUAGCACUGAUGAUUACGCAUGAGAGAGAGUGCCAGUCCCGAUUCACACGCCUUCCCAUCAGGCGCCGUUUUUAAACGAAACGGUUCCACUUCGCACGCCUGGCCUUCAAGCGCCGUUUGAAAAUCAAAUCGAUUGGACUCCCGCCUGAGUCAGCAUCUUAUCCUUUUAGAUUAAACGUCAUCUUAAAGCAAAAUUGACCACGUGGAUCAAUAUUAACCACAACUCCCUUAUAACUGCAAAUCCCAUUUAAAAAUUAUGCCUUGUAAAAGAAAAAGAAAUAAAGGAUCCCGGGCACGAAUGAUACAAAAGGUUUACAACCAAAGAAACUACAUUUGAGUAAAAGAAAAAGAAAUAAAGCAACACAUAUGAGGGAUUUUGUGAUGUUAGUAAAGACACGAAACAAAGGAUCCCGGGCACGAAUCUCUUCCUUCAAAGUCAAGAGAUACUUUAAAGUGUUUGUAUGGUUUCCCGUUGAAUAACGAUCAGACACUUAUUGAGAAGUGUUGAAAGGCUUCUUUUAAUCAGGCUAAUUUGGGUGGCUUUCGCUUCAAUUCAGAAUUCCUGAUCUUGAUAUAAGACAGAAAUCGAACGAAGUACUUGUGAGACCAAUGCAGUCUGUUGAACAAGUAGGUUUGAAAUAAUUUGAGUGGCUAGAUAAAAUAGUUUAUGUAAAAUCUCAAAAAAUUUAAAACUGGAUUCCAAGGGAAGAAAUGUUAUAGGACUUAACAAUUUCAUAGGAAUCACACAAAAGAAAAUUAGAGAUUUGACUUUCCAUCCUCAUUGAUAAAUCCGUCAAUUCGUUAGUGAAAGCUUAGAGCAAAAUUGAUUGUUCACCGUCAAUGCAUAGUAGGUAUUGAAUUGUGGGUUUCACUUAGUACGUAGUGACACGAAGCUAAGAUCAUAAACACAGAAAUUGUGUAACCAUAAACCUCAGUGGUAAUUUCUGAGAGUCUCAAGGGUUACGUUUAUGAAGCGAAUGAGAUGGAGAAAAGUAGUGUAGAUGGUGUAAAGAAACCAAAGUACCUCUGCUGUUAAAAUAAGGACCAAGCAGAAAACUCUUAUCUCAUGUGAGAAGAGAGUCAGGUAGCUCAUGAUUAGAAUAAAUAUGAAAGCCUAAUUGGGAAGACAAGGUUUGUAUGUACCAAGUCAGUAAGGCUAUUAUUCAGAAUCAGGUGAGGCUUUGGACACAUACAGCAGCAUGCUUCUAGGGACACUUAACUAAUGAAAUAAUUCCCCACAAAUAUCCACACAAAAAUAUAAGACACAAAACAAAAAUUAUCGAACUAAUAAUAAAAAAAAUGUUUUUGGAGUUUUUGAUUAAAAAAAAAAAUAAAAAGAUUUUAGAAUUUUUGAUUAAAAAAAAAUUGAGACACAAAUUUUUUUUGGAUCCGAACCCGAGAGUUCGGUCUAUUUCGGCAAAAAAAAAUUUGGAACCGAACCCGAUCGUUCGGUCUAUUUUGGUUGCAAAAAAAAUAAGUUUGAAAAAGAAAAGAACUUUGAAAAUAAGUGAAAUGAAUUUGAGAAAAUGAUACAAAAGGUUUACAACCAAAGAAACUACAUUUGAGUGAUAAGCGAAGAUCAGAUGAUAGGACCGAACCCGAGCGUUCGGUCUAUUUCGGCACACAUGUGAACCGAACCCGAACCUUCGGUUCAUUUCGCUUCCGACUUUUAAUUUUGAGAAGUAGUUUUUGGUACUGAAUUUGAUUCCAUCAUACCUAGCCCUUGUAGAAUUUUAUUGAAAGAUGCUUCAUGAAGAGCUUUGGUGAAGAUGUCAGCCAGUUGAUCAGUGGUUCGAACAAAGUGAAUUUCGACGUUCCCAUCUUCCACAUGAUCUUUAAUGAAGUGAUACCUCAGUGCUAUAUGCUUUGUCUUGGAAUGUUGCACUGGGUUAUGACAGAUCCUAAUUGCACUUUCUGAAUCGCAAUAUAGUGGGAUCUUUUUCAUAUUGAGUCCAUAGUCCCGGAGCUGGCUUUGGAUCCAAAUCACUUGAGAUGUACAGGAGGCUGCUGCGAUGUACUCUGCUUCGGCUGUAGACAGAGAAACACAUGUCUGUUUCUUUGAUUGCCAGCUAACCAACUUCCCAUCUAGGAAUUGGCAGCCUCCAGUGGUGCUUUUCCUGUCUAAACCACAACCUCCAAGGUCUGCAUCUGAGUAGGCUUGAACGAAGAAACCUGAGUUUGAUGGAUACCAUAAACCGAGAGAGGUGGUUCGUUUCAGAUACCGGAGUAUGUUUUUCACUGCAAGCAUAUGUGGUUCACGAGGAUUCGCCUGAAAUCUAGCACAGUAACAAACAGAAAACAUUAUAUCAGGCCUGCUAGCAGUAAGGUACAUUAAAGAACCAAUCAUCUGGCGAUAUAACGUAAUAUCGACUGCCGGUUUUUCCAAGGAUGGUGUGAGCUUGGUGCCGAACGCCAUUGGAACUUUGACCUUUGAGUCUCCCAUCAUGCCAAAUUUAGCAAGAAGAGUCUUGGUGUAUGCUUCCUGGUUGAUAAAGAUGCCUUCGGGUCCCUGUCUAAUAUUUAAACCAAGGAAAAAGUUAAUCGGACCCAUUGAGCUCAUUUCAAAUUUAGUCUCCAUCAGCUUUCUGAAUUCAGCUGUUAAGCUAGGAUUCGUUGAGCCAAAGAUGAUAUCAUCGACAUAGAUUUGAACAAUCAUAAGGUGGUUACCUUCCUUCUUACGAAAGAAGGUUGGGUCAACCGAACCUUGUUUGAAUUUUGACAUCUUUAAAAACUUGGUUAGCGUUUCAUACCAUGCCCUAGGUGCUUGUUUCAGACCGUAAACCGCCUUGUCCAGAAUAUAACAGUGAUUGGGGUACUUUUCAUUAACAAAUCCAGGAGGUUGCUCCACGUAAACUGUUUCUUCAAGUUCUCCAUUCAGAAAGGCGCAUUUCACGUCCAUUUGGUAGACCUCGAAGUUCUUGUGUGCAGCAUAGGCCAGAAAUAUUCGAACAGAUUCCAGCCUCGCUACCGGAGCAAAAGUUUCCUCAUAAUCAAUUCCUUCUUCCUGGCAGUAUCCUUUCACCACGAGACGAGCUUUGUUUCGAAUCACAUUGCCUUCCUUGUCCAUUUUGUUUCUGAAUACCCAUUUGAGACCAACAACUGAGGCAUCUUUAGGAGUUGGAAUGAGGCGCCAUACCUUGUUUCUUUCGAACUCGUUGAGUUCAUCUUGCAUAGCUUGAACCCAGUCAGAAUGAUCAAGAGCAGUAUUUACUGUCUUCGGUUCAACUUUUGAUACGAAAGAAUUAUACAUGCAGAACUCUACUUUGGAGAAUAGAGAUGUUUGCUUUGCCUUCAGUUGAGAUCGGGUGAGGACCUUUUCAGAGACAUUACCCACUAUCUGAGAUACAGGAUGAUCUCUGGUCCAUUUAACAAGAGGAGGGUAAUUUGGAUCAUAGGAUGGAUCCAAUUCAGCGUUGACCAUUUCUUCCAAUUCAGAUUGACUAUCGUCGUCGUAGAACAUAUCGGAGUUCUCCCCCUCGACUGAUGAGCUUUCAGGUGUAGCUGGACUUUCUGGUGCUACAGGACUUUCUGGUGUUGUCGAGCUUUCGGGUGCUGAAGGGCUUUCGGGUGCAGUUGAGCUUUCGGGUGGAACUGGAAUAGAAUUCUCCCCCUCAAUUUGUGAGCUCGGUUGUUUUGAAGAAGGUGGAUUCUCCCCCUCAACUGAAGCACCUUGCUCAGGAGGUUCGUUUGGAACUUGUUCUCCUUCACCCAUUCGUUUGGCGGCAUCUUCGACAAUUUGCUUCAGAUGGUCGACUUUGUUGUCUGCUGCCUUGGCUUCCGAGAGAGUAGCUUUCUCAGGUUCAUCGAAUAAUUCCACAAACUGAUCGAACAGAUUAGCAAUCGAGGCCGUGACUUGACCUGUUUGAGUGAAAAUCUCUCCAAUUGUUUCUUCAGUAGCUUUUAGCUUUUUGACGUAGUUAUCAUCGAAAGUCACAUAAUAUGUUUCUUCGAUCUUCCUAGAGCGCUUAUUUAAGACCCGGUAAGCUUUUGAAGUAAGAGAAUAUCCCAGAAAAAUUCCUUCAUCAGCUUUAACGUCAAACUUGUUACGAUGUUCUUUGGAGUUGAAGAUGAAGCAUCGUGAGCCGAACACAUGGAAGAAUUUUACGUUCGGCUUCCUGUUAUUGAUGAUCUCAUAAGGAGUAAGAGAGAAACGCUUGUUGAGAUAAGACCUGUUCUGCGUAAAACAUGCUGCAGCAAUAGCAUCAGCCCAGAAAUAUAAAGGAAGAGAAGCGAAACUUAGCAUCGUUCGGGCCGCCUCACACAAGGAUCGGUUUCGUCUUUCAACAAUUCCGUUCUGUUGAGGCGUAUAGGGAGCUGAGAAGUUGUGACUAGUUCCUUUUUCUGCCAAAAAGUCUUCAAAUUCUUUGUUCUUGAACUCCAGUCCAUUAUCGCUCCUGAUGUUGCGAACAACUUUUCUCAGUUGCACUUCAACCUGCUUAAUAAACAUCUUUAGCUUAGGAGUAGCCUCAGAUUUGUGCUUCAGAAAGAAUACCCAUGUAAAACGUGAGAAAUCAUCAACAAUAACAAGAAUAUACUUGCUACCGCCAAUGCUUUCGAUAGAUGAUGGACCACACAAGUCAAUGUGAAGCAACUCAAGUGGUUCAACAACUUUUGUGUUUAUAAUGGAUGGGUGACUUUGACGACUUUGCUUCCCCAUUUCACACGCAGCACACAAAUGUUCUCGAUCAAACUUGAGCAAUGGGAGACCCCGAACAUGACCUCCUGUGACAAGCUUGUUGAUGUCUUUGAAGUUGAGAUGUGAGAGCCUUCGGUGCCACAACCAGCUUUCAUCAGAAUGAGCUUUGGAUAAUAGGCAUAUAGCUGGAUUUCCUUUGAUUGGUUUGAGAUUGAGAGGAAAAAUUUCACCUUUGCGUUCUGAUUUGAGAAUUACGCUUUUUGAUUUCUUCUCUAUGAUUUCUGAACCUUCAUCAUCAAAUGAAACUUUGAGACCGGUGCCUCCUACCAGUUGAGACACACUGAUGAGAUUAUGCUGUAGACCUUCAACAUACGCCACCUUUUUCUUAUUGUGAAGUCUCCAUUGGUUAUCAUCCCAUAGCCCUUUAUCGUUCCAUAAGAAUUGUUGCCGAACUUGACAUUCCCACCAUUCUGAAGAGAUCGAAACUCCCUUAGCUCCUCCUUCCUCCCUAUCAUGUGACGUGAGCAGCUACUGUCAAUGUACCAUUCUUCGUCGAACUGCUCGUCACUUAUAACCUGCAAAAAUUAAGUAGAUUUAGGAACCCAAAGUUUCUUGGGUCCACGUGAGCCUUUCACAGGAACAUGAAUAGCAAGAGAAACAUCAAUAAGAUAUGUUCUUUUUAUUAAUGUUGUUUCAUCUUUUCUUUUAAUGGUAAACACUUUGAUUUUGUUAGGAUUAGCAACAGUGGGUUUGGUUUCAGGUUUUGGUGUUUGGGCUUUAGACUGCUUUCGGUCUUCCUGGACAGAGGAAAUCUUCGAUUUUCCUUUCAGGUUCAUUGAUGAUUUAGAAUUUUGUGCUCGAACAGAAUUGGGUUUAGAAGAUAAUUGAGAACUAGAAGAAUUAGAAUGUGAAUUUCUUCUGACUUGCGGUUCGAACCUGGACGUUCGGUAGCUAUUGCUUUCGGGACCGAACCUGUCCUUUCGGUUGCUGUUUGAACCGAACCUGUCCUUUCGGUUGUUGUUGCUCUCUGAACCGAACCUGUCCUUUCGGUUGAUGUUGCUCUCUGAACCGAACCUGUCCUUUCGGUUGUUGUUGCUCUCUGAACCGAACCUGUCCUUUCGGUUAUGUUCCUCAUGUGGCCCGAAAGCCUUUCUUUCUGACUUUGAAUUUCUAUCAUGAUAAGAGAAAUGAUUGUUUUGAGAGCACCAAAACUGCUUUCGCUCAGAGAGAUUCUUUUUGUAUCUUAGGUUUCUUUGCUGCUUUUGAUCUUUCACUUGUUUCCGCUGUCUGUGGAUGUUGGCCUUUUGUUUCAGCUUCUUGUCAGCCGGUUCACUUUUCACAGAUGAUGUUUCGCUUGUGGAAGUGACUUCUUCUACAGGUAUUUCUUUUGUACCACUUGUGCUUGGCACGUCAAAGUUGUCAGGCUUGUUCAGCGGCUCUGGUACAUAUCUUCCUUUUGUUUUCCAGGACGUUCGCUCUGACAAACCAACUGUUUCGUCGGCAUUAUCUAUAGGAGCAGACCAAAAGAACUCAUCACAGCCAUCUGCGUUAUCUUCGUUCACUAUGGCAGUGAGUUCGGCUGUUUGAUGCUCGGCUACUCCUGUGACCUUAUACACCUGAUUUGGUGUUGUUCUCACCUUUUGGUACACAACAACCUUUUCUUCAAGAAUCGGGGACUUAUUUUGGGACAAACGAGCGAACUCCACAGAAUUUUCAGAAAUAAGAUUUUUGUGGUUUUCGGGUUCGCUCUUGACAAACUCAGAACAGUCGACUACAUCCUCUACAGAAAUUUCACUCAUAUCAUCGUCCUCAUUAAGUUCAGAUGCGUUUUCAACAUCAAUUUUAUUUUCUGAACUUAAAUUGGCACUCAAUGAGUCGAAUUUUUGUAUGGUUUCGGUCCUUAGUUUCAGCUUAUCGUUUUCAUCCAAAAGAUUUUUCAGCAUGUCCUUAUGGUCUUUGGACUUUAUAAAAGAUUCUAUUUUGUCCAGACCAUACAUAUAAGUAGGAUUCACAUCAUCAGACGAUACAACACUUUCACAGUUGUAUGCUUCAGCAUCGAUUUCAUCCUCCUUAAACUCAAGGAAGGGUAAAAUCAUGCGAUGUAUUUUCUGCCCUAUUUCACAAUUCAGAUGCAGUUGAGUAAUGUUAGCAUAAAGUCUUUUAGCAAUCAAACAAAAAACAUUUCUUUGUUUUAAAAGUUUCAAAUUGUCUCUUUGUAAAUAAAUGUUUUCAUCCUUAGACUUAAUCAGCUCCGACUCCUUCUGCUCAAUCCACAUCCUUCGCUCCUCACUCUUGGAUGACACCCUGCUUAUUUGGUCAGUUAGGUUAGAAUUGGUGACCCGUGUUUGAGUUAAACAACUAUCCAGAUUUGAGAUUCUUGAAUUUAAGUUAUUUAAUUCCUUUUCAUAUGAUUUCUGUGGAAUUUUGAACGAAAUAAAAAGAGAUUGUACCUUCUUGAUCAAUUCAUCAAGUUCAUUGAUCUGCACACUGAGAGGUUUUGCUGUGAAGCAUAAGUCCUCUCGCUCCUUGGUGUCCUCAUUUCCACCAUCUGUAUUGUAUCCCCUCAUGUGAGAUACGUCAGUCACCAUCAGACACUUUCCACUGCUUUCACCACCUCUUGCGACAUACGCCUUUCCAUGUGAAGGCUUUCUCACCUCAUCAUCUUCUGAGUCGGUUGACCACACCUGUACGCCACCGAACUCGUCAUCCUCUGCCGAACCCUGUACAAUAAGAGCAUUCAUAGAAGGAUUAGUAGCAGCUUUCUUCCUCUUAAUCUCUUCCAGCUUUUUCAUCAGGACUGCCUCUUCAUCUUUCUCCUCAUCUUUCUCUGCCAUUUUCUUCAGAACACAAUCUUUGGCAUAAUGAUUCUUUCCUCCACAGUAAUAGCAGCUGACACCAGAAUCUCCUUCAACCUUCGCCUCUUUCUUUGGUUCCUCAGUCUUCGGCUCCUCCCUUACCUUUUCUGAACUGUAGCUUCCCUGCCAAUUUCGGUUCUUAUUGGUAGGAAACCUCUUCUUGAUGAACCUUUUUGGAUUGGACACCAUCAUAGCAUAAUCUUCUGAAGUAAGAUCGUAGUCCUCCAGGUUCAGAUCUUCAUCUUCUACUACAUUCUUGCUUUUGGACAGGAGUGCCAAGGACCCCAAACUUGAGACCACAUUCUUCUCUUGCAUGACAAUCUUUUCUUGGGAUUUUAGAAUCCCCACCAGUUUAGCCAAUGAAUAUGACUUGAACUGCUCAUGAGCUUUAACUGUAGAAACGACAGCUCUCCAUUCAGAUCUUAGGCCAUUCAAAAAGGUGACCUUCUGUUCAAUCAGCUUCCUUUCGAUAUCAUGUUUGAUCAUCUUGCUAAGAAGAUGAUUGAAGCGAUCAAACGUCUGUGUGACGGUCUCAUCAGAAUUUUGCUUGAAUUCUCCAAACUCAGACAAAAGCAACGUCUGAAUAGAGUGCUCUAAAUCUUCAUCUGUGGAAUAUAGCUCUCGCAACCUAUCCCAGAUUUCUUUAGCGGUACUGUAGGAACUCACCAACCUAAACGUGCCAGAUUGAAGAGCGAAUCGGAUCAGUCUCAAUGCUUUGAUGUUGCACUGAAACUUCUCCUUUUCGUCUUGAGCAACGUCUUUUACAUCUUUUAACAGAUCAUUAUAUUCUUUCUGAGUUUUAAUGAUCUUGGAUGUUCCUGAGUGAGCAAAUGGUCCAGACACAAUGGCUUCCCAAAUAAGAUACCCAUUAUCUUCAGAUCCGAUGACAUAGUCUUCAAAAUGAUGAGCCCAAACUUCGUAAUCCUGGGUGUAUAGAAUAGGAAUCUUCGUCGUUGAUCCAAUAUUGUUUGAGAUGUUGAUAGGAUUAGAUUGAGAAUCGUCCAUGCUUGAUCGUUUAACUUGUUUGAAAGAUCAGACUUGUAAUAUGUAAUAUUAGGGCAAACAAAUAAAUAAAGAGAUACGUCAAUUCUGGAGUGACGGCUCAAUAAAUAUCAGUUAAUGCGGAAUUACCCUAAUCGCUUCUUUCACAGAAGAGAUGUGUAUGAAUUACACAACCUCCUGCUCUGAUACCAAUUGAUGAGUUUAUAAAACUCUUUGAUCGAUUAGAUCUUUAAAACAGACGAAUAAAGAAAGCAAUAACAGUUAAACAAAAACACAAGUAUGGAUCUGAAAGAGUUGAAUGAUUCAAUUAACUCAAUCCUUAGCAGAGCUCGAUAAAGAACUUCUGCUGUCGAGGAUUCUAGGGUUACAGAAGAUAAGAACGUGUACGCUAUAAAAUCUCUAUCAAAACAUUACGUUCCAGAAUGCAUGCAAGCAUCUUUAUGUAAUAAACCCUAUACGAAACUCACGGAUGGACAGGCCCAUACCGGAGACAAAACUUGGACUAGCUAACGAGCCCAAAGACGCAACACUAAACUGGACCUAACAUGUUUCUUUUUUUAUUGUUUUUAUUUUCAGGUUAUGGAUGCUUGUGCUAAAGGAAACUUGGGUCAUUUUAUAAAUCACAACUAUCAACCAAAUUGUCGCACUGAAAAGGUUAACUUUAUGAAAUUCCUACUCUAAUAAACUAGUUUUAGGUUAAAUUUUGUAGAUCAUUCAGGUAAAUUUUGAAUUUGAAAGUCUAAGGUUUGAGCUAAAAAGUCUUAGCAUAUCCAUUCUUCUGCAAUGACAUUUGAAAAGUAAUUUCACAUGGAUGCACCUUGUGGUUUUGUAAUCUGACCAUGGAAAUUUGUGUAAUGUUUUCUAGUUUAGUGUAGACACUAAACCACUGGCUCAUGAAGGUCAAAAGGUGUCCACUAAUAGCACAAGAAAUUCAAAACUUAACCAAAGAUAAACAAGAACUCCAAGGAAAAUUUUCUAAGAAAUCUAGUUCAACAACCACUUGUCCACUUGUCCCCUGAAUUUGCAAAUAGUAAAAAUAAAUUUUCAUCAUUGUUUUUACUUUUUACUCACAGGAAAAAAGUAAAAACUAGAUUAGAUGUAUGACCAAUUGAGAAGUGAGUAUGAGUCGGUUAAACGGUCCUCCAUUCAACCUCCAAACAACUUCUUUCUCAAGGGGUGGUGAUUCUGAUCUGUUUGCUAGUCCUGCUAACAUGAUGGAUGAUAGAGAUCCCAAGAGGAGAGGUAAUCUCAUUUUGUUUAUCAAAAGUUAUCUAAAUAUGAUAGAUGCAUAUAUAGAUAUCCUCACUUUUUCAUAAUAUUAUCGUGAAAUAAAAAAAAGUACAUUGCUAUUAUAUAUAAAGGUUCAUUUACAUGGAAUUGCCCAAAAAAUGUUAGUUCACUUAUUUUCUACAGAUUGGUCGGUUUACACCAUUGACACUCCAGGACCUUAGGGAGAUAUAUGACCAGGAACCACAAGACAAAGCAAUUCUAACUUCGGUAGUCCCUUCGACAUCCCUAAUAGCCCACUUGUAAAACAUUCUGUAAUUCCAGUAGAAAACAGAAGAACUAUUACCCGCCAGAUGUUUGGUGGCGGCGACGGUGGCGGUGGCGGUGGUGGUGGUGGUGAUGGUGGUGGUGGUAGUAGAGCGGGAAAUUCUUCUAACAUUGAGAAAUAUGAUAUUCUCACCAAUGAAAAGGAUUCAACUCUCUUGUACCCGACCUCAAUUGUUUACAUAAUGUCACACCCCCAAACCGGAGCGGCGGAAACGUACGGGGGUGGAUGACUUCAUGUUAUUUAUCACAACACAUGCAUCAUAGUAAUCAAAUUACAACAACCAUUGAAUUAAUAAAGUAUAAGUUUGACAUAUGUAUUCAGUCAUUGUAUAUAUGACAUCAAAAGUUAUAUAACAAAAGAUAGAAGACAUGACUCUAUACUGCUCCGUCUUCUCAAAAUCCCGGGGAUUUACCUGUCUACUGGUUCCCUGAGAAUACUAGUGUUUUGAAAAGAGAGUAUCAACAUUUAAGUUGGUGAGGGCAUAAGUAUUUAUGUUUAGAAGUUUGUUUUGAAUUAGUGUCUAAGUCCAUAACUAAAAUUGGUAUGUACUUGACCCGACUCGGCAUGGUCCAUUUAGGUUGCAUGGCAUCGGAACAUUUGGAUAGACCGUUUAUGAGAAGAAGACAUUUGUGACAUAUUAAUAUAUUAUAAGCUCUAAUAUAUUAAUAUGAGAUCAUGUUAUUUAAUUAGUAUUUAUCAAAAAUUAAUUUAGACUUAAUUUAGUGAUCAAAAGAGACUAAUUAAAUAUAUGAGAAUUGAUUGCGUAAAUCAUUCAUUCUUAUAUAUAUGGGCUUAUGAUCCAUGAUUCCUUAUGUUGGGUUUAACCCAUGUGGUGACCCAUGGAUACUCCGUGGAGGUUAAAAUCCAUGGAGCAUAAGGAAUGGGUAAAGUCAUGGGUUACUUGGUGUAACCCUAAUGUACACACUAUAUAAAGACCCCAUUUGUUGGAGAAAUCGACACUGGUGCAUAAAAUGGAGGGCAAGCCAAUUUCCAUGUCUCAUGUCUUCUUCUCAUGGUUAUUCCAAGUGUUAAUGAUGUUGUGUGAACCAUUAUAGGUGUCACACUUGGGGCACUAGGCUCUCGAGCUUCAUGGAGUCAAGCUACAUCAACAAGGUAUGUAUUCUAUCUAUGUUAUUACCCAAGUAUCAUCAAGAUUGUAUGCUAGUUAGGGUAAUACCUUGGAAUAUUCAUAUUUGCAUUUAUAAUAGAGAAAACAUAGAUCCAAGGUAUUUAGGGUUGCAUGUACACUUAGGAGUGUUAGAAUGCUCAUAACCUAACAGUGGUAUCAGAGCCUAGGCUUGUUUUCUUAUAUAAAAAUCAAAGUUAUCUUGCUGUCUGGACAAUGGACUCACCGAGUUCAGUCAUGGACUCGAUGAGUCCAAGGUAAAAUGCAACCAACUCAUCGAGUUGGUUCAUGCACUCGGCGAGUUCGACCCCUUGACAACAUAUUUUCGAGUUUUGGUGCUGGAAUUGGUCUAGAAUCAUUAUCUUAAACUUUUUUGGACUUAUAAAAACUAUUUUUUGAUAUGUUAAUGAUUAUGUAAACCAAUUUCAGAGUUGUUAUCAAAAUUUCAAGUUUUAUAUGGUUAAUUUUAUGAUUCUUGAAAUUGUUGACAUACAUGUUCUUGAACUUAUGAGCUUAGAUGAUCAUAGGAAUUAUUUGUAACCUUCUUGGUAGUUUAAUUCUUGAUCAUUAUGUGUUUUAAUGGAGUCCAUAACUUGUUCUCAAGUUAUGGAUAACCAAAAGUCACAAGUCAUUAAAUCCAUUAAAAGAACACAAUGGUUACAUAAGACGAAUAGUCACUCAUUUUAAUAAGCCUUUAACUCAUAAGUUAUGAGAAAUGAAAAGUUUUGGAAGUUUACAAAACUUGCCCUCAAGUUUUGGAACAAGUAAAGUCACAAUUAAAACUUUAGUUCCAAUCCCUAGAAUUUUAAAAAGUUAAAAUUCAACACUUAUACUUUAUAAUAUUAUAAGUUUAAUAACAUUUAUAUAUGUAUAAGAACAAAAAUUCGUCUUACCAUUAGUAUGCCUCAUUCAUGUAGCCGGUCUAUAAGGGGGGUAUAAGGUUAGUGCCUAUAAAAUGGCAGUUUAAUAAGUGUCGACUCUUACUCACCGCUUCCUUGACCGGUGGAGGGUCGUUAGCCGAACGGGUAGGAUAAGGACUAUAAUUCUCCCUUCAUUAAAAGUAUUAAUGAUAAAUACUAAGUAACUAAAUGUUUAUAAAUUCCCAAUCUUAGUUACCUAGGAAAAUGUGAAUAAGGUGCUAAUCCAUGAAAUUACACUUUGCAUUUUGUUUAAGCCGUUAGUGGAGCGUGUGUGGUUAACCGGCCCACUAACCUGGAUUUAACAAGGUAGGCAAAGGGUAACUUAAUAUUUAUCAUAGUAUCGGUGGAGCGUGUGUGGUUAACCGGAACAUCGAUUUAGGGGUAAAUAUUAAGGGUACCAAGUAUAUUUGCAUGGUUACUUCACACCUUGUUUUGUGAUCCUCAGCAUCAUAGUCACAAAACCUGAAGGGCACACUCGAGAUUGAAACAUGCUACUGAAAAGUUCAAUGAAUUUCAAAAUAAUCUAGGACUUUCAAAACCAAUUAAAACCUAAUAAUACAUUUCGUUUAUCUUGGUGGAAAUUGGUGAAUCGUCAUUCACCUACCUUCAAGUAUUUUAUAGCUUGGAUUACGGUAUCCCUCUUCCAAGUUAUAAAAUAGUUUGUUGGGUCCUAGCCUUAAUAUUUCAUAUUGGGUGUCAUAUUAAGGACUUANUACUUGAAUUUCUCCCAUUGUUGAUGUCUGGUUUAGACAACAAUGAUCUUCCCAAAUCAAGCUUUCCUAAUGAAUACGACUUCCCGAGUUUGGCUCAUGGAAGUCAUACUUCUCUUCCUCCACCUCCUCCAAUUAUUCUCCCUGACCCACAAGUUUAAGGACUUGAAAAGUUCAAGAUCACUCAAUCCCUACUCACAAUAAAACAUAAAAUUGGAAGUUCUUUGUGCACUCAUGUUUUAGGACUCAAUUCACACAGUGACAUGUUGUGAAUGUUGGGUGUCGUUGUCCCAAGGAAGUUGGCUAUUGACUGGGUCUUUCAGUCACUUCCUGAGUCAUAUAGAAAGACUACUAUUUGACAGAUCACGACAUGACCCUAAUGGAUCUUUCUUAUUUGAUUAGUGCUGAUGAAUCAGAAAUGAUUUGGUGCAAUAGUCAAGAAAAUAUGGAUGAAAGGUCUAUUUCUCAAACCUUCCAUGGACAUGGACAAUGGUGACAUUGGAAGUUCAGAAAAACUUUCUCUUCCCAAUGGAAAGGGAUCGGCCUUGGUCAACCCGGUUGACCGGAAGGUAAAGAGAAAGUCUAAGUCUGGAAUAGCCUAUGUACCAUUCCUAAAGAGUCUAUAUGUUCUCAGUGUAAAGAAAAGGGGCAUUGGAAGCGAAGCUGCCCAAGCUACCUGAAAGAAAGAAGAAUCAAAAGUUUGACUCUGCUUUAGGUAAGUCCACUAUCUAACUCUGUUAAGUUCCCAGUUGAUGAUUCUUAAUACCAAAAUGUGACUUGGUUGCAUUUGAUAUUUAGCAGGAUCAAACAAAGGGAAGGAAACUUAAAGAAAGAGUAUGAUGAAUUUGAUCGUGAAGAUAGAUUUAUUUCGCUUUGUUGAAGAUUGAAUUCCUGAGCUACUUCUUAGGAGUUAUGAUAGAUUGCUAGGAAACGUGUAAUAGCAUAGUUUUCAUUUCAAGUUGCAUUGUAAGGAAAAAGUUUUUUCUGCAUUUUAAAAUAAAUAAAAGUUUGUUUUACUUUAUUUUAUCUCCUUACAAUGGCAUUCAUGAGAACUUGAUGUUUGUAUGUUUAUAGCAAUAUUGGAAAUAUGAAUUUGAUUCUUUCAUUUGUGGUAGUGUCUAAAUUUACCAAAUAAGGAAAGAUUCUCAUCACCCAAGUUUUAAUUGGACCGAAACUUGGAAUCAUACAAGGUGUUUAGUGUGAUGUAUGAGAAUUUUCAACUUUGGAAAAUUAAGACUAGUUCCGUGUUCACAUGUAUAUGUGACUCAAGAGAAGGACUAAGGGAUCAAGUACACAUUCUUGUGCACUAGCCAAAGUUCACCACAAAAGAUGGAUAAGACUAUUCGUCAUGAUUUACUAAGGUUUAGUAAAUAUGAUUAUACUUACAAGCUUAAGUAUAAUUCUGAGACAUUGGAAAAGUUUCAAUGUAUGACAGAACGAAUAAGAAGAAUCAAAUUAGGCAAAAGGAUAAAAGUUUUUCAAAUUUGAAAAGAUGGGAGAGUACUAAGAUCAUCUUAAUGAUUUUGAGACCUAAUCACAAUUCAUCCUCUAAGUGCAUUCUGAUAGUUAAGAAGAGGAGUUAUGAAUUUUUGAAGUGGUUAAAUCAAGAAGAUGAUUCAUACUUCGUUCCAAAAAGAAUUCUUAGAGUUAUACUCUAAUAUUGUAACUUGAGUGAGAUGUCUUAAAGAAGGUUUAAAACACUUGUCAAAUGUAAGAGUAAAAGUUUUCUACUCUUGUACAUUUGAAAUUGGUAAGUUGUGAUGUUUUGGAUAAAACAAAGACCAACUUAGGCCAAUUGUGUGAAGUGUUUGUCUUGAUUAAGAAUCCACACUACAUCUUAAAUAUUUGGCAAGAAAGUCUUAUAGGUCAAGAAGACAGUGGGAGUCUAAAAGAUCUUGAUAUAGUUUCAAGAACUAAUCAAGAAUAAAAACCUAUAUUUCAUCACUAGCACACCACUAGAGGUUUAUAACCUAUCGUGUUGACAUUUAUGUGCCCAUUCCAGUUAAGUUGGCUAUACAUUUGAGUUCUACAUGUUCUCAAUUAUUUGCAUAGCUACUUGGAAGCAAUGGCAGGCCCUUGAGCUGCCAGGUGGCAAGAAGUUAAGAUUGAAUUCAAUCCAUAUGGUUUUGGAUUUGUCAUUAUCUUUGUCUUGUGAUUAUGGUUUGACAAAUUCAUAUGGGUAGGAACUCAUACACCAUAUAAAUCUAAGGGUCAUAAGGUUUCUCUCCGAUUCAUGAAAAUGAUGGUGAGGAAAUACUUCCACCAAGUAGAUUUGAAGCAGAUAGCAAAGAUCUAAACAAUUGAUACUACGAUUACUACAUCCCUUUUCAUAGUUCUAAAAUUGUUUAGACACACAUGUGUGUUAUCUAAGGAAAGGUGUAUGAGUUUGAUAAAGUUUUAUCAAAGCAUCUCGUAUUAGAAUUCUGAACUUUGGUAAGAAAGUCAAUAAAGUAUUGUUUUCUAGAAGUCCAGCUGAUUUCUGAGUAUAUGUCAAAGCUAGUGGGAGCAUAAGUGUUAUGCUAAUAAUCAUCAUGUUAGUGGGAGCAUGAUAAUUAUGAUAAGUAUUGCAAGUUAGCAAUGUUAAUUAUAGAAAACAAAAGUUUCAAUUGGGAAAAAGUUGUUUUGCUAUAAUUAAGGGAGAGGAAAUUAUGCUUCAUCUCAAAUCUAUAAGCUUAGAUCGUGAGGUUUUAAUCAUUUAGUCAAGGAUAUAUAUGAAUUUCAUGUUGGAAUGGCUCAACAUAAGGAAAUUCUGUAUAUGGGUCCAUUAUUUGCGUUCUAAAAUUCGAUUAUGAUUACGGCAUCCCUUUUCAUAAUCUGAAUUAUGAGAACUUGGCAAAUUGAAAUGGAAAUAUUAUAGCAAAAGACUGGUUUAGUCUUUAUGUAAGACAUCAUGAAUCGUGUCCCAUAUGCUUCGGAUAUAGGAUCGAUUACAUGUGCUAUAUUCAUCCGUUCUAAAAUUUUCCAAAUGCCUGGGGCAUUAAGAAGGGAAAAGGUUUAGAACUGGAUAUGACUAAAAGGAUUAAACAAUUGUCGAGGACAAUCUAAGGUUUACCAAAGAUUGGUUGCUCAAGGACAAUUGGAAGUAUAGUGAUAAUUCUGGAAGGACCAUAUUGACANAAAUCAAACUGAAGCCACCAUUACAUGUUUUAGACCACAAAUCAGUUAAGAUUCAUGGCUAGAAGUGAGUUCACGGCCAAGGGAGUUCUUGGGCCGUGAACUCCAUUUUUAGGUGCCAAAACCCCCUAAAAACCUUCCUUAAGCCAAGAGACUAAUUUGGGCAUGUAACUAAAUGAGUUUAUGAUUAGCUAACACACUUAGAACACCAAGAGUAAGGUGUUCACGGACCAAAAGGUUCUAGGGCCGUGAACUCCAUAAAAUGGUUCCAAAUGGUGCCAUAAACUCUUCUAAAGCCUAGUACAAAAGCCUAGUUUAGUUCCUAGUUAAUUUAGGGACAUGAAAACACCAUAAACAUCCUCCCAAGGGAGAUUACAGCCGUAAUCUCCAAGGGAAUAUGGUCCCAGGGCCGUAAACUCCUAAAAGGAGUUAUAUUAUGCCCUAAACUCUUCCAUAGACCAAGCCAUUAAGUAGAAAUGCUUAUUAGGGCCUUAUAGAGCAUCAAACAUCAAAUGGACACAUAGGUAUGAGUUCACAGCCGUAAACUCAUGAUUUUACGACCGUAAACUCAUUUGGUAGUGUCAUUAGGGUCGUGAACUCCCUUAUGGAGUUUUUCUUGAGCCCUACACACAAUAGCUUCCCCUACAAACACUUAGAUGCAAUCCUAGAGGCUAAUAACACUUGAUAAAGGUGUUUAGCAUGUCCUAGGGUAUCUUGACUUCUUUAUUAAUUGUUUAUAGACUAAUUUGUUACAUAUAUGUGAAAUUAUAUGUUAACUAGGAUCAUAGAGGGUGUUCAAGACUUCACUUGACACCUAGCGGUCCUACCUGUUCAGUUCAUCCGCAUCACCCACAAUAGGUGAGUUCAUACCCAUUAAUCAAUCUUUUAACUAUUUUUAAAUGUUUUAGGGGGGGGGGGGGGUACAAGNGAUACAAGUAGAAUCAUGCUACUUAUUAUAUCAAUCACAUGUGAUUAAUAAGCAGCAUUCAAAUGAUUUACUACUCAUUAGCCGUUUUACCAAACAGUUUCCUUCAAAUGAUUUUCAUAAACACUUUAUAUGUUUAAAACUCCUUAUUACACUGUACAUUUUACUCCGUAUAUUACAUUUCAAACUUAUUUACAAUUCUAUUUCAAACAAAUGUUUAAAACUCCUCGAUUUGGAUGUGGUCUGAUAGGAUAUCGAGUACCCGUCCGAAGGUCGUUUAAAUAUUAGUUAUAUAUCAUGUGUACAUAUAUAGUCAUAAAAGGUCUUUCUAGUUCAUCCAAUGCCCUUGGAUAGCAAGGGUAUACAUCCAUGUUCAUAUGUACCAGUUAUAUUACUAGUAAGCUACCAUAUGGGUAGUUUAGGAAG
rnacentral:lncRNA from 1 species